GACGAACGCUGGCGGCGUGCUUAACACAUGCAAGUCGAACGGAAAGGCCCUGCUUUUGUGGGGUGCUCGAGUGGCGAACGGGUGAGUAACACGUGAGUAACCUGCCCUUGACUUUGGGAUAACUUCAGGAAACUGGGGCUAAUACCGGAUAGGAGCUCCUGCUGCAUGGUGGUGGUUGGAAAGUUUCGGCGGUUGGGGAUGGACUCGCGGCUUAUCAGCUUGUUGGUGGGGUAGUGGCUUACCAAGGCUUUGACGGGUAGCCGGCCUGAGAGGGUGACCGGCCACAUUGGGACUGAGAUACGGACCAGACUCCUACGGGAGGCAGCAGUGGGGAAUAUUGCAGAAUGGGCGGAAGCCUGAUGCAGCAACGCCGCGUGCGGGAUGACGGCCUUCGGGUUGUAAACCGCUUUCGCCUGUGACGAAGCGUGAGUGACGGUAAUGGGUAAAGAAGCACCGGCUAACUACGUG
rnacentral:rRNA from 1 species